rnacentral:rRNA from 1 species
AUACGGAGGAUCCGAGCGUUAUCCGGAUUUAUUGGGUUUAAAGGGUGCGCAGGCGGCCAUUUAAGUCAGCGGUUAAAUCGUGGGGCUCAACCCCAUUCUGCCGUUGAUACUGGGUGGCUUGAUUGCGGUCGAGGUUGGCGGAAUUCGUUGUGUAGCGGUGAAAUGCAUAGAUAUGACGAAGAACACCGAUUGCGUAGGCAGCUGACCAGACCGCAAAUGACGCUCAUGCACGAAAGUGCGGGGAUCGAACAGGAUUAGAUACCCUGGUAGUCCGCACAGUAAACGAUGAAUACUUGUUUUCGGCGAUAUAAUGUCGGAGGCAAAGCGAAAGCGAUAAGUAUUCCACCUGGGGAGUACGCCGGCAACGGUGAAACUCAAAUGAAUUGACGG